CAAAAAUGAUUUCACCGUUUGUCUUGUUUGUCUUUUUGAGUAUUUUAUUUGGUAAUAUUCUAACACUUAAAAAUUUGCCAUCGGACAAUCCAAAUAAUUUCGGACCAUAUGAGCCAGUAUGGACUAAAUACGAAAUGUGUAGAGGACCAAAAAUGCUAAAUGCAUCGGACACAGGAUUAUUGCUGGUUAAACAAAAAAAGGAUUUUAUAGGUGUCAUGGAUUUUAAUUUUACAACUCAAACCACGCUUGAACAAGUAAAGAUAAUGGUAUACUCUGUCAAGGACAAUAAGAAAAACCUGAUGUGGUCUUAUAAAUUGAUGGAUCCAUGCAAACAUUUCCUCUUUGCGCAGUUAAUUGAGAGUUACCUGAAUGCACAUAAUUGUGUCGUCGAGAAGGCUGUAUUUCAUAAUAGCGUAAAUUUUUCCGAAAUAACUAAACAGCUCAUUGGACCAUCGUUUUUUUACGGAGAUUAUUUGUUGAAGGCUGUAGUGACGUCAAAAAAAGCUAAUAUCUUAUG